UGGGCGGCGGGGAUGGAGAGGACGGUGGCGCCCCGUUACGGGCUCCGGAUGGGAGGCCGAGCGCCCGCCUGCCCCAGGGCCCGCCUGCGACCGAGCCCCGCGCCCGGCGUCUCCGCCCGGGGUGCUCUCCGCAGUUUCCUGGCUUGGAAGCCUCGGGAACAUGGCGAGGCAGCGGUGGCUUAACGGGAAGGAUGGCGACUGUUAGCCUGUGAACGAAGGUGAGAGUGAGCAGCCUCAUGCUCCUGACCAAGCUUCUCCACUGGAGCGGGGCCGGGGUGAUGUGGACUUGCCGGAAGUCAGUGGCAGCAGGUCCAGUCUGUCCACCUUUGAGCCUGGUGGCGGCAUGUCCUUCCCCACCCUCUUGAGGACCCCCACUGGCUGAACCCCCUGGAAACUGCGUGGAAUGUUCGGGGGAUGAGGCUGAGGAGGCUUGUCUCUGCCUUCCGGAACCCCGCUGCUGUCCUGAGGUCUCCACCCAAGGUGGGAACCCCGGAGAGCAGCCCAGCAGCCAUGCGCCGCCAGACCCGAGGGCAGUACAGAGCCUGGGAGAGGCAUGGCCUUGGAAGUUCCUCUGAAGAACGUGCGGGCUUAUCGCAUUGUGUGUUGAAAAGCAGUAGCAGCGUGUGCUUCUGCCCCUGGUGUGGCUCAGCAGGGUUGGGGCAGCGGCUCUGCGCGAUACAGAAGCUUGAACAGAGGCCACGUGGAACUCAGAACCAGAGAUGACAGCCCAGCAACAGGGUCAGGGCUGGGGCGGGGGCAGGAAGGCGCCCGAAGGCAGUGGUGUCCGCCUGCAGUGGCCACAGCCCUGCAGGCACCCCAGGGCAUGGUCCUGAAGUCCUCCAGCUGGGAGGUGCAGGAUCUUCUUUGCAGGCCCACCCCACAGGCCUGAGCUGUCUCUGGAUUAUACCCCCGCCCGAGGGGAGAAUGUCAAUGAGGUUUGCAAAUUAGUCUGGAGUGUCUCACAGCUGGAACCUUGAGACCCCUGCUUUCAGCACAGGUUGUUACAGUGAAUGGAAAGAUCUCCUGUCUUGGUGAAGGAGCAUGUCCCCAUGUUGGCACAACUAUAAAGAAUAAAUGGAUCUUGAGUAAACU